rnacentral:rRNA from 3 species
AGAGUUUGAUCCUGGCUCAGGAUGAACGCUGGCGGCGUGCCUAAUACAUGCAAGUCGAGCGAACGGACGAGAAGCUUGCUUCUCUGAUGUUAGCGGCGGACGGGUGAGUAACACGUGGAUAACCUACCUAUAAGACUGGGAUAACUUCGGGAAACCGGAGCUAAUACCGGAUAAUAUUUUGAACCGCAUGGUUCAAAAGUAAAAGACGGUCUUGCUGUCACUUAUAGAUGGAUCCGCGCUGCAUUAGCUAGUUGGUAAGGUAACGGCUUACCAAGGCAACGAUGCAUAGCCGACCUGAGAGGGUGAUCGGCCACACUGGAACUGAGACACGGUCCAGACUCCUACGGGAGGCAGCAGUAGGGAAUCUUCCGCAAUGGGCGAAAGCCUGACGGAGCAACGCCGCGUGAGUGAUGAAGGUCUUCGGAUCGUAAAACUCUGUUAUUAGGGAAGAACAUAUGUGUAAGUAACUGUGCACAUCUUGACGGUACCUAAUCAGAAAGCCACGGCUAACUACGUGCCAGCAGCCGCGGUAAUACGUAGGUGGCAAGCGUUAUCCGGAAUUAUUGGGCGUAAAGCGCGCGUAGGCGGUUUUUUAAGUCUGAUGUGAAAGCCCACGGCUCAACCGUGGAGGGUCAUUGGAAACUGGAAAACUUGAGUGCAGAAGAGGAAAGUGGAAUUCCAUGUGUAGCGGUGAAAUGCGCAGAGAUAUGGAGGAACACCAGUGGCGAAGGCGACUUUCUGGUCUGUAACUGACGCUGAUGUGCGAAAGCGUGGGGAUCAAACAGGAUUAGAUACCCUGGUAGUCCACGCCGUAAACGAUGAGUGCUAAGUGUUAGGGGGUUUCCGCCCCUUAGUGCUGCAGCUAACGCAUUAAGCACUCCGCCUGGGGAGUACGACCGCAAGGUUGAAACUCAAAGGAAUUGACGGGGACCCGCACAAGCGGUGGAGCAUGUGGUUUAAUUCGAAGCAACGCGAAGAACCUUACCAAAUCUUGACAUCCUUUGACAACUCUAGAGAUAGAGCCUUCC